rnacentral:rRNA from 1 species
GACGAACGCUGGCGGCGUGCCUAAUACAUGCAAGUCGAACGCAGUGGGGACGGGUUCGUAACACGUGGGUAACCUGCCAUCAGAGGGGAUAACCCUUGGAAACAGGUGCUAAACCGAUACUGAUGGAUGGACCCGCGGUGCAUUAGCUAGUUGGUGGGGAAACGGCUCACCAAGGCCACGAUGCAUAGCCGGCCUGAGAGGGUGAUCGGCCACACUGGAACGGAGACACGGCCCAGACUCCUACGGGAGGCAGCAGUAGGGAAUCUUCGGCAAUGGACGAAAGUCUGACCGAGCAACGCCGCGUGAGUGAAGAAGGUUUUCGGAUCGUAAAGCUCUGUUGUUGGAGAAGCGGUAUCUAACCAGAAAGCAACGGCUAACUCCGUGCCAGCAGCCGCGGUAAUUC